UGUUCCUGGACCAAACUGAGGGUCGGGCUGC
rnacentral:piRNA from 1 species